AGUGAACGCUGGCGGUAGGCCUAACACAUGCAAGUCGAACGGCAGCACAGUAAGAGCUUGCUCUUACGGGUGGCGAGUGGCGGACGGGUGAGGAAUACAUCGGAAUCUACUUUUUCGUGGGGGAUAACGUAGGGAAACUUACGCUAAUACCGCAUACGACCUACGGGUGAAAGCAGGGGAUCUUCGUACCUUGCGCGAUUGAUUGAGCCGAUGUCGGAUUAGCUAGUUGGCGGGGUAAAGGCCCACCAAGGCGACGAUCCGUAGCUGGUCUGAGAGGAUGAUCAGCCACACUGGAACUGAGACACGGUCCAGACUCCUACGGGAGGCAGCAGUGGGGAAUAUUGGACAAUGGGCGCAAGCCUGAUCCAGCCAUACCGCGUGGGUGAAGAAGGCCUUCGGGUUGUAAAGCCCUUUUGUUGGGAAAGAAAAGCAGCAGGUUAAUACCCCGCUGUUCUGACGGUACCCAAAGAAUAAGCACCGGCUAACCUCGUG
rnacentral:rRNA from 1 species